UGAAAGAGAUCAUUUUCAGUAACUCCUGCUCAAUGAAAUUUUAAUAGCCGCAGUCACCUGUGCUAAGGUAGCAUAAUCAUUUGCCUAAUAAUUAUAGGAUAGAAUGAAAGGAAGCACAUGUAGACUUCUUUAUUAAAAGAAUUUUUUUAAUUUCACUAAUAAGUAAAAAGUUCUUAUUUUCAAAGGAGGACGACAAGACCCUAUCAAACUUCACAAUAAUGUUUAGCUGGGGCGGCAAAAAACUAAACCUUUUCUUAAAAAUUUUUAAUACUAACCUAAUUUUUGAUAUUACUAAUGUUACUGUAGGGAUAACAGCAUUAUUUUCCCUAAAAGAUCUUAUAAAAGGGAAAGUUUUUGACCUCGAUGUUGAAUUAAUAUCCUUUUAGGAGCAACCUCUUAAAAAGAGAGUCUGUUCGACUCUUAAAUAAUU
rnacentral:rRNA from 1 species